rnacentral:rRNA from 1 species
AUGGUGUUGAUGCAGGCAGAUCUCUUCCUGAACAAGCUGACCAGCAUGUGCAAGAGGAGCACGGAGAAGGGCUCUAUGUGGGUCACCAUGAAGCGAUUGUCGAUGAAGUGUCAGGCUAGGUUGAAGAAGAUGGCGAGUAAGGGGGAGCCUGUUGAGUACCGGUGCCUGGUCUACGCCACCGAUGGAAGAGGAACAUCUCCACCUCGUGGACUAGAACAUUGUUUAUUUCUGGAAAACAUGAACAAAAAGGCUCAACGAAAUGGUCUACAAAAGGGACAUGGCCGAGAAAGUUAA